UUGGAGGGCAAGUCUGGUGCCAGCAGCCGCGGUAAUUCCAGCUCCAAUAGCGUAUAUUAAAGUUGUUGCAGUUAAAAAGCUCGUAGUUGAAUUUCGGGAUCAAUGUUUCGGUCAUGCCGUUGGUAUGUACUGAUAUUAUUGAUUUCUCACCUUCUAAAGAACCGUAGUGCCAUUAAUUUGGUGUCACGGGGAAUUAGGACUGUUACCUUGAAAAGAUUAGAGUGUUUAAAGCAGGCUCACGCUUGAAUACAUUAGCAUGGAAUAAUGAAAUAGGACAUCCGAUUCUAUUUUGUUGGUUUCUAGGAUCGAUGUAAUGAUUAAUAGGGAUAGUUGGGGGCAUUAGUAUUCAAUUGUCAGAGGUGAAAUUCUUGGAUUUAUUGAAGACUAACUACUGCGAAAGCAUUAGCCAAGGACGUUUUCAUUAAUCAAGAACGAAAGUUAGGGGAUCGAAGACGAUCAGAUACCGUCGUAGUCCUAACCAUAAACUAUGCCGACUAGGGAUCGGAUGAUGUUAAUUUUUUAAUGGCUCAUUCGGCGCCUUACGGGAAACCAAAGUGUYUGGGUUC
rnacentral:rRNA from 1 species